UAAUACGGAGGAUCCAAGCGUUAUCCGGAAUCAUUGGGUUUAAAGGGUCCGUAGGCGGUUUUGUAAGUCAGUGGUGAAAUCUGGUCGCUCAACGAUCAAACGGCCAUUGAUACUGCAAGACUUGAAUUACUGGGAAGUAACUAGAAUAUGUAGUGUAGCGGUGAAAUGCUUAGAUAUUACAUGGAAUACCAAUUGCGAAGGCAGGUUACUACCAGUGGAUUGACGCUGAUGGACGAAAGCGUGGGGAGCGAACAGGAUUAGAUACCCUGGUAGUCCACGCCGUAAACGAUGGAUACUAGCUGUUGGGGUUUACCUCAGUGGCUAAGCGAAAGUGAUAAGUAUCCCACCUGGGGAGUACGUUCGCAAGAAUG
rnacentral:rRNA from 1 species